GUCUUCUCGGGAUUGGAUGCAGAAGGCUGGUGAUCUGGGGGCUGUUUGCGGUGGUAGGGGACCUAUCAUGCGGGCUGGUGUCCCUGCUGGGCAGCUCGCCGGGGCUGAGGCGGUGAAACGCUGCCGGUGCCGAGCAGCGUGCCAGCCGCCCUGGCACAGCGGGGAUGAAGGCGAAGGCACACUGCAGCCAGUGUCAUUCUGCUCUUCCAGAGAGACAGCACUUUCUCCGCUUGAGGAAUGAAUGAAUUCUGAAUCUUCCAGGAAAUAGUUCAGGAAACGGUAUUAUAUCUACCGUGAGCUUUGUGUUCAACCAAAAGCAGCUCUUGCUGUCCAUGGAGCCUCCACAUGCAGGCCAGCAAGAGGGUGCAGAUACCCGACGUUUCCUCACUUUUCUGUAAGGAGACCCCUCACCUGUACAGCCUGGUAGAUGGAGGUAUGAGGAACUAAGGGUACACACCAAGUACAUU
rnacentral:lncRNA from 1 species